rnacentral:rRNA from 1 species
UACGUAGGGUGCGAGCGUUAAUCGGAAUUACUGGGCGUAAAGCGUGCGCAGGCGGUUAUGUAAGACAGAUGUGAAAUCCCCGGGCUCAACCUGGGAACUGCAUUUGUGACUGCAUAGCUAGAGUACGGUAGAGGGGGAUGGAAUUCCGCGUGUAGCAGUGAAAUGCGUAGAUAUGCGGAGGAACACCGAUGGCGAAGGCAAUCCCCCUGGACCUGUACUGACGCUCAUGCACGAAAGCGUGGGGAGCAAACAGG